UUAUCAUAGAUGAAGGAAGAGAAAGGGAUUGGAAACGCACGUCAUUUGACGUCACGUUUUACUAUGUUUUGUACGUUGUGUGGGCGAAACCCUUUGAAGUCUAGGUGCGUUACGCCUAGGCUGCUAAGCUAAGAAACUUAUUUUCGUCUGUAAUCACAAAAACAAGAGCUAGAUAUUGCGACUGAGAUGUGCUUCAUAAAGAAAAUACCAAGUACAAAGUUGUGCUACUCUUGGAAAGUUGUCUGAACAUGAAAUGUAUGUGCUGUGGGCCAUUGAAGGAAUGCCACACGGAAGAAGAUAUCAGCAUUGGAAAAAAGCUGCAAGAGAUAGACGGCUGGCUUGGUGUGCCAAAGAUGGAAGUGCAAACGAAGUCCUCAAGUGAUUCUAAUAUUACAUUGUGUCCUUUGAUAAGUCCUCUGAUAAUAACUUUUACCGAUCGUGAACCAACUACAAAUGUAUGUCUACAUUAUCAUUAUUUUUUU